CAGUAGCCACGGUAAUACAGAGGGUGCGAGCGUUAAUCGGAUUUACUGGGCGUAAAGCGUGCGUAGGCGGCUUCUUAAGUCGGAUGUGAAAUCCCUGAGCUUAACUUAGGAAUUGCAUUCGAUACUGGGAAGCUAGAGUAUGGGAGAGGAUGGUAGAAUUCCAGGUGUAGCGGUGAAAUGCGUAGAGAUCUGGAGGAAUACCGAUGGCGAAGGCAGCCAUCUGGCCUAAUACUGACGCUGAGGUACGAAAGCAUGGGGAGCAAACAGGAUUAGAUACCCCCGUAGUCCCUGUCUCUUAUAC
rnacentral:rRNA from 1 species